AUGAAAAAGGACAAGGGACAAAAAGAAGUCAGAGAAAUUUAAGGAUCCACUUUCACAACUAAAAAUACAACAAAAAUAAUGUGAAGGCCUUCCUUAUAGAUAAAUUUUUAAAGGGGAGAAAUAAGACAAAAAAAAUGUGGCUCAAGUAUAUGCAGAAAGAAAGAAGAAACGAAAAGAACAUUCAGGGAAAGAAAACUUAAAUUCAAGCUGAUUACUAACUCCA
rnacentral:misc_RNA from 1 species